rnacentral:sRNA from 1 species
UUUCCGCAGUGUGUAGCAACAAUGUCUC